rnacentral:tRNA from 2 species
AUUUAUAUAGUAUAAUAAUUACAAUUGAUUUCCAAUCAAAAAAUCUAAUAACGUAGUAUAAAUA